GCAUAUCCUACCUACAUCUUAACUUACCCCAGCAAUGAUAAUACUUUACUACAGACCAGGGUAACAUGAUCACAACAUGUAGGUCAUCACUAGAUUGAUCAGCGAUAGCUUCGAGAACCAGUAGACACAAAUGUUGUUUCCAGUAUCAAAAGAAAGACAAUUCACACUUGUUGCAGAAAUUGUAAACAGGAUGCAUUGUGAUUGGCAGCUCCGCCAACAGUUCCAAUGAAUCUGCAUACAUUACACAAGGCCAGCCAGCACUAUGCCAUUUAUCUUACUGUUUACCAUUUAGGCUGUCAGAAUAAAAUGCUUGUUAUCGGGUUUUUAAAAAAAAUCUUCAGAGUGGGUUUUUAAAAUGUUUCACUUAACAUGUGGAAAAGGCGCUGAAAAUAAUAAUGGAAUUGUUCUACUGAUAAGGUCAGUGCUGUAGUAGACUUGGCUCUUUGAGAGACACCAGCAUCCCAGUGCUGAGUAAAUGCUUCAGUUAGCCAAAACAAGCAAUAGAAAACCCACAAGGGGUAGGGGGUGUAUGUUGUUUUGUUUGCCUUUUCAAAAUGAAAUGCUAAUGGAAGGCCUCGAGAGGUCUUUUUUUUCUUUUUUUUAAAAAUAGCUUUCAAUAAUGCAUCAGUCAAUUUCCAUCGGGACUGAUAACAUUUGAUGAUAAUCCAUUUGGUCUCCACUAAACCUAAAAAAAAUGGGAGGACAUAUAACACCAAAUAAUGGAAGAAAAUGUCAGUAUGAGAAAUGCACAAGAAAUGGCACAUUAUGACCUAAAUCCAUUUCAACCAAUUAGAAAACCUAUCCUUCUUCUUCUUCUUUUGAUGAUGAUAAUGUUGGUGGUGGUAAUGGUGGUGGUGAUGGUGGUGAUGAUUAUGAUGUCACAUAGCAGUUCUGUUCUUUCCUAUAAAAAAUCUCAGGCUCCAAUUUCACUAAAGCAAAAUUAUUCCUUUGGGAACAAUAUAUUGUAUACUGUCACUGUGCCAAUCCAUACGUUUGACAGGUGAUCCGUCUCCAUCUCUUCAACAGUAUUUGAAAGAAAAUCCCCAAGGAAUUCUACAUCAAGCUAAGAAGUAACACCAACAGAAUAGAAAGCCAAGUUUCAGCUCAUGUUAAAAAUGAGUGAUACUUUUCCAAAGAUUCAGUUGAGCAGGAAAGCUUCAGAGUAAGACUAGGAUUUGAGAAAAUGCAUCCAUGGCUCUAUUGCUCAGUGAACAAAGCUACUCAUCCUAUCAUAGUUUUCUCUGAAAGGCUGGAGAGAGAAAAAGAAACUUCUAGCACCUGGGAGAAGAAAAAUCCCUUGGAAGCAAUUAAAGAAGUAACAGAAUGGACAGAAAGAGGGGGAAGUUGUGUUUGUUUGUUUACCUAAGAGGGAAGAGAAGGAAAUUAAGAAUGGGGCAAUUUUUCUUAUUUGGCCAUUACUGUCUGAACGUAUAUCCUUCUCUGAGUCUACUAGAACUUUAAGAUCGUCUGGGGAGGCCCUGCUCUCGGUCCCACUUGCCUCACAAGCGCGAAUGGUGGGGACGAGACACAGGGCCUUCUCAGUGGUGGCUCCUCGGCUGUGGAACUCCCUCCUCAGAGACAUCUGGCAGGCUCCAUCACUUCUGGGCUUUAGAAAGAAGCUAAAAACCUGGUUAUGCACACAAGCAUUAACAAAUAGACUUUUACGGUUUUGACACUGUCUGGACCAAGGAUUAUUUGGAUGAAUGGAUUUAUGCACUCUAUAUGUUUUAAGUUCUGUAUAUUGUCUCAUGUGUUUUAAUGCCUGAUGUAAUUUGUUUUUUAACUACUUUAUGUUUUACUGUAUUGUAUUAUUGUUGUUUUUAUUGGCAUUGAAUUUUUGCCAGACCUGUAAGCCGCCUUGAAUCACCUUGGGCGAGAAAGGCAGGAUAGAAAUGACACAAAUAAAUAAUGUCCUUUGGGAAAGAUAGGGUUUUUAGGCUUCAAUGGCUGUCGCUUCUGCUACCUAUUGGUUGGCAUGGGGGUUGUCCUUCCAGGAGUAUUGGGGUGCAUUGGAACUUUCUUAAUUUGUAUUGGGCAACCCUCAUUCAUGUGUGUACCUUUGAAUUGAUUCAGAUGUGAUUCUGUCACUAACAUCCUCAGAAAUACAUGUUAUCACAACUAGUAUUUCUUGAUCUUAAUCCAUUCCUAAUUAUUAGAAAACCUAUCCUCCUUCUUCUUUUGAUGAUGGUAAUGGUGGUAAUGAUGGUGGUGGUGGUGAUGUUACAUAGCAGCUCUGUUCUUUCUUAUUAAAAAGCCUCCCAAAAUCUCAGGCUCUCAUUCAAGUACUAAGCUGCUUAGCUUCCAAGAUCAGACAGAAUCUGAUGCCUUUACUCCCUGAGUCAAAGUCAAUUUGACUGCAUACAACAAAAGCAACAGCAAUAAAUGAAUCAUAAUUCA